GCCUCUAUGGCGCAGUGGUUAGCGUGCUCGUGCGGAGAGAGGACCUCGGUUCGAAUCCGAGAAGAAACU